rnacentral:rRNA from 1 species
GAUGAACGCUGGCGGCGUGCUUAACACAUGCAAGUCGAACGAAGCACUUUAUUUGAUUUCCUUCGGGACUGAUUAUUUUGUGACUGAGUGGCGGACGGGUGAGUAACGCGUGGGUAACCUGCCUUGUACAGGGGGAUAACAGUUGGAAACGGCUGCUAAUACCGCAUAAGCGCACAGCAUCGCAUGAUGCAGUGUGAAAAACUCCGGUGGUAUAAGAUGGACCCGCGUUGGAUUAGCUAGUUGGUGAGGUAACGGCCCACCAAGGCGACGAUCCAUAGCCGAACUGAGAGGGUGACCGGCCACAUUGGGACUGAGACACGGCCCAAACUCCUACGGGAGGCAGCAGUGGGGAAUAUUGCACAAUGGGCGAAAGCCUGAUGCAGCGACGCCGCGUGAGCGAAGAAGUAUUUCGGUAUGUAAAGCUCUAUAAGCAGGGAAGAUAAUGACGGUACCUGACUAAGAAGCACCGGCUAAAUACGUG